UGAGCUGAGUUUACUUUAAAAAGUUGAGAAAAGGGGUUGCCUUAAAAAAAAAGUAAUGAUUAAUGAACUUUUAAAGUACAUUUAACUUAAAAUCUUUUGUAAUAUCAACUGCUUUGCAUAGUUAUUACACUUAAAUAAUUAAGUUCAAAGUUCCAAGUAAUUUUUAAAAAAAAAUCUUUUUUCUUUUA